rnacentral:rRNA from 1 species
AAAGACCUUAUGCUUUUGGAGCGGCCGAUGUCUGAUUAGCUAGUUGGUAAGGUAAUGGCUUACCAAGGCAACGAU